CAGCAGCCGCGGUAAUACGAAGGGGGCUAGCGUUGCUCGGAAUGACUGGGCGUAAAGGGCGCGUAGGCGGCGAUCAAAGUCAGGCGUGAAAUUCCUGGGCUCAACCUGGGGGCUGCGCUUGAUACUUGGUUGCUUGAGUGGGGAAGAGGGUCGUGGAAUUCCCAGUGUAGAGGUGAAAUUCGUAGAUAUUGGGAAGAACACCGGUGGCGAAGGCGGCCAUCUGGGACAACACUGACGCUGAGGCACGAAAGCGUGGGGAGCAAACAGGAUUAGAUACCCCGGUAGUCCCUGUCUCUUAUAC
rnacentral:rRNA from 1 species